rnacentral:rRNA from 1 species
AACGAACGCUGGCGGCAUGCCUAACACAUGCAAGUCGAACGAGACCUUCGGGUCUAGUGGCGCACGGGUGCGUAACGCGUGGGAACCUGCCCUUAGGUUCGGAAUAACUCCCCGAAAGGGGUGCUAAUACCGGAUAAUGUCUUCGGACCAAAGAUUUAUCGCCUUUGGAUGGGCCCGCGUUGGAUUAGCUAGUUGGUAGGGUAAAAGCCUACCAAGGCGACGAUCCAUAGCUGGUGUGAGAGGAUGAUCAGCCACACUGGGACUGAGACACGGCCCAGAAUCCUACGGGAGGCAGCAGUGGGGAAUAUUGGACAAUGGGCGAAAGCCUGAUCCAGCAAUGCCGCGUGAGUGAUGAAGGCCUUAGGGUUGUAAAGCUCUUUUACCCGGGAUGAUAAUGACAGUACCGGGAGAAUAAGCUCCGGCUAACUCUGUG